UGAGUAUUAAGUACUUGUCUGAUUUCCUGUAGUAUAAUAUCUUAAUAAAUAGUUAAAUGAGUAACUUUCUCCAAUUUGUUGAUCUUGACAAGUUAUUUGUGUUUACUGACUUAUGCACUCACUAAUUCUUGUUUGCUGUAAUAAAGUUUUAUUUUAUGAUUGGUUAGAAUUCUCCAACUCCUGAUCAAUUUAGAGAACGGCGCCGAUUUGAGUACUUCUACAUAUUUGCUUUAGGUCUGUACAGAUCAAGAGCAAUCAUGCCCCUUUGCCUUUCUAACAUAUAGCUCAGUACUGCAUGGGUCUCUUUAGACAAUCUGAUAUUAUGCCAAGUUUGGGUCUCCAAAGCUGCCCAAAUAAUGUGAAUAUCACUAUCACUUUUUACCCUUAUAAGAUCAUUUGCCUAGUAUAUGACAGCAUUUAGAAUUUGAUACACUUGGAUUUUUUGUUUGUCGGUAGCUUUCAUCUUUUCCAAGUAUAUGACAGCAUUUAGAAUUUGAUACACUCGGAUUUUUUGUUUGUCGGUAGCUUUCAUCUUUUCCAAG
rnacentral:lncRNA from 1 species